rnacentral:rRNA from 1 species
ACCGAGGGACUGCGCUUGAAACUUUUCGACUGGAGUUUGGGAGGGGCAACCGGAAUUCCUGGUGUAACGGUGAAAUGUGUAGAUAUCCGGAGGAACACCCGUGGCGAAGGCGGGUUGCUGGACCAAAACUGACGCUGAGACGCGAAAGCGUGGGUAGCAAACAGGAUUAGAUACCCUGGUAGUCCACGCUGUAAACGAUGAGUGCUAGGUGUAGGGGGUAUCGACUCCUUCUGUGCCGCAGCUAACGCAUUAAGCACUCCGCCUGGGGAUUACGGCCGCAAGGUUAAAACUCAAAGGAAUUGACGGGGGCCCGCACAAGCGGUGGAGUAUGUGGUUUAAUUCGAUGAUACGCGAGAAACCUUACCUGGUCUUGACAUGUUAAGAAUCCUUCAGAGAUGAGGGAGUGCUUGCUUGCAAGAACUUAAACACAGGUGGUGCAUGGUUGUCGUCAGCUCGUGUCGUGAGAUGUUGGGUUAAGUCCCGCAACGAGCGCAACCCUUGUUACUAGUUGCCAGCACGUAAUGGUGGGAACUCUAGUGAGACUGCCGGUGAUAAACCGGAGGAAGGUGGGGAUGACGUCAAAUCAUCACGCCCCUUACGACCAGGGCCACACACGUACUACAAUGCCCGGUACAACGAGUUGCUAAGCCGCGAGGCUGCGCUAAUCUCUUAAAACCGGGCCAAGUUCAGAUCGGAGACUGCAAUUCGUCUCCGUGAAGUCGGAAUCGCUAGUAAACGCAAAUCAGCAUGUUGCGUUGAAUACGUUCUCGGGCCUUGUACACACCGCCCGUCACACCAUGGAAGCCAGUAACACCCGAAGCCGGUGAGCUAACCUUACGGAGGCAGCUGUCGAAGGUGGGAUUGGUGACUGGGGUGAAGUCGUAACAAGGUAGCCGUAGGAGAACCUGCGGCUG